UUUCUGUGUGUGUGUGUGAGAGAGAGAGAGAGAGGAUCCACUUAUUUUAUUUACCUACCAGUUAAUUAUUUUUUAUUAUUUGUAUGUGUGCAUGUACACUUCUAUACCAGCAGAUGGCGGUAGAUCCUCUCUGUUUCUCUGUCUAUCCAUGUAUGUACCUAUUCACCCAUUUAUCUGUGCAUCCUUUACUUAUUUCAUUUACAAAUUAAUUGUUCAUCCAUUUAUUUAUUUAUUUAUUUGUGAGUCCACACGUACACUUCUAUACCAGCAGAGCGCAUUAGAUCUGUCUCUCUCUCUCUCUCUCUCUGUAUCUACUUAUUCGUUUAUUUUAUCUGUGCAUCCUUAUUUCAUUAACUAAUUAUUUAUUUACUUAAUAGUCCUGUUUGUCUAUACAUUUAUUUACCUCCCUACCUACCUACUUGUUAUUUAUUUAUUUAUUUAUUUGUGUGUGUGUGUGUGUGUGUGUGUGUGUGUGUGUGUGAGAGAGAGAGAGAGAGAGAGAGAGAGAGAGAGAAGAGCGUGUAUGCGCAUGUACACCUCUAUAUCAGCAGAGGGCAGUAGAUCCUAGGACAUUGAUUUGAAGUCAGGAUUUUCUGUCCUUCCUUAUUAUUAUUAUUAUUCUUUAUUUUUUGCUUUUAUCAUUUGCUCAUUUGUUAGAGACAGGUUCCCUCCAACACUAACACCAUGGGUUUGUUGUUGCUGCUGAUUGUUUGUUUUUAAGUGGAUUUUUAAUAUUUGGGAUUUCAGAUCGAUUUUCUUAAUUUGGGGUUGUUUCCUGGGAUAUGGUUGAUCAGAUCUGCCUGUCUGUCUGUCUGUCUGUCUGUCUGUCUGUCUGUCUGUCUGGUGUUGGUGGGUCGUCAGUCCGUCCGUUUGCAAUAUGUAUGUCUUCAUUGUUUUUGUUUCUCUCUCUCUAGCCCUGGAAACAUCUUUCUGAGAAGAACGCGCUGGCCUCCAACUCACUCCUGCUGUGCACACACAGAAAUCACUGAGAUCCACCUGCCUGUCUGUCUGUCUGUGACAUGCAAAAGAAGAAGAAGAAGAAGAAACUUCAUCACCCCAACAUAAAAAGGAAGACUCCUGCUUCACUCAGGCGAUACAGGUCCUGAGCGGCUGUGUGGAGACUGCCAUGAUCUGAGGAUCCAUUCUCCCAGGAGCAUUUCAUUGAGAAAAUAUAGUUGCACCUAGGAUUAAACGGGAGACGAGGGGAAUACGAACUCUGGGUGGGUGGGUCUUAUGACAGGCACCAGCCAUCGAUAGGCUGUUGUUUGUUUUGAUUUUUGAAAAAAAAUUUUUUUUGAGACUCGAUUUUGACCAAGAUGGCCCCUCUGGCUCACUGAUAAAGUGAGCUGAGCACUGGGAUUAAAGGCGUGCACCAACACUUCCAGGCCAGACCAGUCAUAUGUUAAUGUGAAGGCCAUUGAGUUCCUUCCAAGAGAAUGAGUGGAGGAGGCCCUCCCUUACACAAAAUGCCUGACCUGUCUGGGGGAAGCAGGUGCUUAAUGACACUGCCAUCUCUGCCCUACUAGCUCCCCUACUAGUGUUCCUGUUCUUGGUGUUCCUUCCUUAGGAGGGCACAGUGGAAUUCCUGUUCCCCUGGUUUCGGGGAUUUUAUUUUUCCCAUAAAGAAUCAUUUUGUUUAGAGAGCCCUCAUUGGCCGUAAACAAGUGAAUAAAUGGAUGGACCGAUAAA